rnacentral:rRNA from 1 species
GACGAACGCUGGCGGCGUGCUUAACACAUGCAAGUCGAACGGAAAGGCCCUGCUUUUGUGGGGUGCUCGAGUGGCGAACGGGUGAGUAACACGUGAGUAACCUGCCCUUGACUUUGGGAUAACUUCAGGAAACUGGGGCUAAUACCGGAUAGGAGCUCCUGCUGCAUGGUGGGGGUUGGAAAGUUUCGGCGGUUGGGGAUGGACUCGCGGCUUAUCAGCUUGUUGGUGGGGUAGUGGCUUACCAAGGCUUUGGCGGGUAGCCGGCCUGAGAGGGUGACCGGCCACAUUGGGACUGAGGUACGGCCCAGACGGCUACGGGAGGCAGAAGGGGGGAAUAUUGCACAAGGGGCGGAGGCCUGAUGAAGCAACGCCGCGUGCUGGAUGACGGCCUUCGUGUUGUAAACCGCUUUCGCCUGAGACGAAGCGUGAGUGACGGUAAUGGGUAAAGAAGCACCGGCUAACUACGUG